GUUACAGUGGCCGAGAGGUUAAGGCGAUGCCCUGCUAAACAGCGGUUAGCAGCCUAGGCAUUGGGAUUUUCCUGCGCAGGUUCGAAUCCUGUCUGUAACG
rfam:Ascoidea rubescens DSM 1968 unplaced genomic scaffold ASCRTscaffold_2, whole genome shotgun sequence.